rnacentral:lncRNA from 1 species
AAAACAACUUAAUACAUUUAUCUUUUUUUUUCAGCCAGUGAAUUCAAAUCCCUCUGCAACAAUUUUACUAGCAAGUCAAACUUCUACACGGCAAAUGUCUGUCCUAAUUAUGCAAAAGGAGCAGUCACAUACCCAUGAACCU